rnacentral:rRNA from 1 species
AGAGUUUGAUCAUGGCUCAGGAUGAACGCUAGCGGCAGGCUUAAUACAUGCAAGUCGUGGGGCAGCGCAGUGUAGCAAUACAUGGGCGGCGACCGGCAAACGGGUGCGGAACACGUACGCAAUCUUCCCAAAACUGGUGAAUAGCCCUCCGAAAGGAGGAUUAAUACACCGUAACAUAAUGAAGUGGCAUCACUUUAUUAUUAUAGCUCCGGCGGUUUUGGAUGAGCGUGCGGCUGAUUAGGUAGUUGGCGGAGUAAUAGCCCACCAAGCCUACGAUCAGUAACUGGUGUGAGAGCACGACCAGUCACACGGGCACUGAGACACGGGCCCGACUCCUACGGGAGGCAGCAGUAAGGAAUAUUGGUCAAUGGACGCAAGUCUGAACCAGCCAUGCCGCGUGGAGGAUGAAGGCCCUCUGGGUUGUAAACUUCUUUUAUCUGGGAAGAAAUGUAUUUUUUCUAAAGUACUUGACGGUACCAGAUGAAUAAGCACCGGCUAACUCCGUGCCAGCAGCCGCGGUAAUACGGAGGGUGCAAGCGUUAUCCGGAUUCACUGGGUUUAAAGGGUGCGUAGGUGGGCAGGUAAGUCAGUGGUGAAAUCUUUGGGCUUAACCCGAAAACUGCCAUUGAUACUAUCUGUCUUGAAUGUUGUGGAGGUGAGCGGAAUAUGUCAUGUAGCGGUGAAAUGCUUAGAUAUGACAUAGAACAUCGAUUGCGAAGGCAGCUCGCUACGCAAAUAUUGACACUGAGGCACGAAAGCGUGGGGAUCAAACAGGAUUAGAUACCCCGGUAGUCC